rnacentral:rRNA from 1 species
UACGUAGGGUGCGAGCGUUGUCCGGAAUUAUUGGGCGUAAAGAGCUCGUAGGCGGUCUGUCGCGUCGAUCGUGAAAACUUGGGGCUUAACCCUGAGCUUGCGGUCGAUACGGGCAUGACUGGAGUUCGGCAGGGGAGACUGGAAUUCCUGGUGUAGCGGUGAAAUGCGCAGAUAUCAGGAGGAACACCGGUGGCGAAGGCGGGUCUCUGGGCCGAUACUGACGCUGAGGAGCGAAAGCGUGGUGAGCGAACAGG